ACGCUGGCGGCAGGCUUACACAUGCAAGUCGAGCGGAAACGAUGAAGCUUGCUGGUAGGCGUCGAGCGGCGGACGGGUGAGUAACACUUAGGAAUCUACCUAGUAUGGGGGAUAGCUCGGGGAAACUCGAAUUAAUACCGCAUACGACCUACGGGAGAAAGGGGGCAACUUGUUGCUCUCGCUAUUAGAUGAGCCUAAGUCGGAUUAGCUAGUUGGUGGGGUAAAGGCCUACCAAGGCGACGAUCUGUAGCUGGUCUGAGAGGAUGAUCAGCCACACCGGGACUGAGACACGGCCCGGACUCCUACGGGAGGCAGCAGUGGGGAAUAUUGGACAAUGGGGGCAACCCUGAUCCAGCCAUGCCGCGUGUGUGAAGAAGGCCUUUUGGUUGUAAAGCACUUUAAGCAGUGAAGAAGACCAUAUGGUUAAUACCCAUAUGCGAUGACAUUAGCUGCAGAAUAAGCACCGGCUAACUCUGUGCCAGCAGCCGCGGUAAUACAGAGGGUGCAAGCGUUAAUCGGAAUUACUGGGCGUAAAGCGAGCGUAGGUGGCUUGAUAAGUCAGAUGUGAAAUCCCCGGGCUUAACCUGGGAACUGCAUCUGAUACUGUUAGGCUAGAAUAGGUGAGAGGAAGGUAGAAUUCCAGGUGUAGCGGUGAAAUGCGUAGAGAUCUGGAGGAAUACCGAUGGCGAAGGCAGCCUUCUGGCAUCAUAUUGACACUGAGGUUCGAAAGCGUGGGUAGCAAACAGGAGUUAGAUACCCUGUAGUCCACGCCGUAAACGAUGUUACUAGUCGUUGGGUCCCUUGAGGACAUUAGUGACGCAGCUAACGCAAUAAGUGCCGCCUGGGGAGUACGGCCGCAAGGUAAAACUCAAAUGAAUGACG
rnacentral:rRNA from 1 species